GGAUCAGUACGCUAGUCAUGCCUUCGGUACGUACUGGUGUUGCUGAUUUCUACCUUCUGACGAACCGUUAUGUCAUUAAUUUGGUGUGGCAGAGGAUCAGGGACUGUUACUUUGAAAAAUUAGAGUGUUUAAAGCAGGCUCGCGCUUGAAUACAUUAGCAUGGAAUAAUGAAAUAGGACGUUAAUCCUAUUUUGUUAGUUUCUAGGAUUGACGUAAUGAUUA
rnacentral:rRNA from 1 species